AUUGAACGCUGGCGGCAGGCCUAACACAUGCAAGUCGAGCGAGCGGCGGACGGGUGAGUAAUGUCUGGGAAACUGCCUGAUGGAGGGGGAUAACUACUGGAAACGGUAGCUAAUACCGCAUACACUCAGAUGUGACCAGAUGGGAUUAGCUGGUAGGUGGGGUAACGGCUCACCUAGGCGACGAUACCUAGCUGGUCUGAGCGGAUGCCCAGCCAACCUGGAACUGUGCCACGGUCCAGACUCCUAAGGGAGGACGCAGUGGGGAAUAUUGCACAAUGGGCGGAAGCCUGAUGCAGCCAUGCCGCGUGUGUGAAGAAGGCCUUCGGGUUGUAAAGCACUUUCAGCGGGGAGGCGUUACCCGCAGAAGAAGCACCGGCUAACUCCGUGCCAGCAGCCGCGGUAAUUC
rnacentral:rRNA from 1 species